UACGUAGGGGGCAAGCGUUGUCCGGAAUCAUUGGGCGUAAAGCGCGUGUAGGCGGUUCGAUAAGUCUGCUGUGAAAGUCCAGGGCUCAACCCUGGGAUGCCGGUGGAUACUGUCGGGCUAGAGUACGGAAGAGGCGAGUGGAAUUCCCGGUGUAGCGGUGAAAUGCGCAGAUAUCGGGAGGAACACCAAUUGCGAAGGCAGCUCGCUGGGACGUUACUGACGCUGAGACGCGAAAGCGUGGGGAGCAAACAGG
rnacentral:rRNA from 1 species